rnacentral:rRNA from 1 species
CCCGAGUAAACCGGCGCACGGGUGAGUAACACGUAGGUAACGUACCUUCGAGUCCGGGAUAACCAGUCGAAAGACUGGCUAAUACCGGAUACGACCGAGAGAGCCUCGGUUCUCACGGUGAAAGAUGGCCUCUGCUUGCAAGCUAUCACUCGUCGAUCGGCCUGCGCACCAUUAGCUAGUUGGUGAGGUAAUGGCUCACCAAGGCUGAGAUGGUUAGCUGGUCUGAGAGGAUGGCCAGCCACACUGGGACUGAGACACGGCCCAGACUCCUACGGGAGGCAGCAGUGGGGAAUAUUGCGCAAUGGCGAAAGCCUGACGCAGCGACGCCGCGUGGGUGAUGAAGGCCUUCGGGUCGUAAAGCCCUGUCGGGAGGGAAGAAAUGCUCCGACCUAAUACGUCGGAGAGUUGACGGUACCUCCUAAGGAAGCACCGGCUAACUCCGUGCCAGCAGCCGCGGUAA